UUCCCCAUUCCCCAUUCCCAGAAUUCCCAAAUAAUUCCCGCAGAAUUCCCGGGAUCAGAUCCAGAUGUCGGAGGUGCCGUUCCCCGUUCCCCAUUCCCAGAAUUCCCGGAAUUCCCGGGAUUCCCGGGAUAUCAGAUCCAGAUGUCGGAGGUGCAGUCCCCCCCCGGGUACCGCAUCUCGUGCGCCAGGCAGGGCCCGCCCGGCUCCUUCCCGAAAUCCAGCAGGAAUUUGGGAUUGACGGCCAGGCCGCCCCGCUCCGUG